UACGGGGGGAGCAAGCGUUGUUCGGAUUUACUGGGCGUAAAGGGCGCGUAGGCGGCCACCGCAGGUCAGUUGUGAAAUCUCUGGGCUUAACCCAGAACGGUCAGCUGAUACUGCGGGGCUAGAGUGCAGAAGGGGCAACUGGAAUUCUCGGUGUAGCGGUGAAAUGCGUAGAUAUCGAGAGGAACACCUGCGGCGAAGGCGGGUUGCUGGGCUGACACUGACGCUGACAGCGCGAAAGCUAGGGGAGCGAACGGG
rnacentral:rRNA from 1 species